ACGCUCGACACCUACGGGGGCAGCAGUGGGGAAUAUUGCACAAUGGGGGAAACCCUGAUGCAGCGACGCCGCGUGGAGGAAGAAGGUCUUCGGAUUGUAAACUCCUGUUGUUGGGGAAAAAGAGGAUGGUACCCAACAAGGAAGUGACGGCUAACUACGUGCCAGCAGCCGUGGUAAUCUGAGCGGGCUGGCAAGGC
rnacentral:rRNA from 1 species